AGGAGAUGACAGUGACAGGAUUCCUUCAUAUGAUGAUGUAGAUGUCAUACAUGAUGGAGAACAUUUACCAGGUUUCCCUCUGGAGGAAAAUACUUCAGAAUAUGGUUAUGAUGACACUGGAUUAUCCUAUGAGAACCUCGACAAGGACAACCCAACAACUGUAACUGAGAGACAUGGAGAAGAACAUGGAUAUGACGAUGUGGAUCUUAAUGAUUUGACUCAUCCUUUGAACCCUAAAGAAACACUCGGAGCACAUGAUAGCAAAGACGAGUUGGGACACUCUUGG